rnacentral:rRNA from 1 species
GAGCUCUGAUGCUUAUUGCACCACAUGUGUUUUUCUUUGAAACAAACUUGCUUUGGCGGUGGGCCCAGCCUGCCGCCAGAGGUCUAAACUUACAACCAAUUUUUUAUCAACUUGUCACACCAGAUUAUUACUUAAUAGUCAAAACUUUCAACAACGGAUCUCUUGGUUCUCGCAUCGAUGAAAAACGCAGCGAAAUGCGAUACGUAAUAUGAAUUGCAAAUAUUCGUGAAUCAUCGAAUCUUUGAACGCACAUUGCGCCCUCUGGUAUUCCGGAGGGCAUGCCUGUUUGAGCGUCGUUUCUCCCUCAAACCGCUGGGUUUGGUGUUGAGCAAUACGACUUGGGUUUGCUUGAAAGACGGUAGUGGUAAGGCGGGAUCGCUUUGACAAUGGCUUAGGUCUAACCAAAAACAUUGCUUGCGGCGGUAACGUCCACCACGUAUAUCUUCAAACUUUGACCUCAAAUCAGGUAGGACUACCCGCUGAACUUAAGCAUAUCAAAAGCGGGAGGAA